rnacentral:lncRNA from 1 species
AGAGAAUAUGACCUUCAUUAGGUAUUGUAUAAGGUUUUAAUCAUAUGGUCUCUAUUAUAAUUAGACAAACUUAUUUUUUGACAUAUGUCUUCUUUGAUAGUUGUACUUCUUAUUUUAUGAUUGUGUCACUUCUUUAAAGAAUGUUAAGUAGUGUACUUUGAUUUUCUACAAUAUAUAAACAUAAUCUUUUUUGACAAUAACAAGUCUUUUUUGAUUUUAUAAGAAAUUUGAAAUGUACAACAUCAAUUUGCAUAUCCUCCACUUCUGAAGGCAUGUAUUGAAAAGACGUUGGUAUUGCCAUUGAAUUGUAAUAACAUUGAGGCUUGCUUAUGUGAUUUUCAGACUAAAAUUCAAAAAAUCAAUUGUCCCACUAAAUGACAAAAUCAAUUUCUUGACUUAAUGUUUGAAGAUCAAUUAAACUAAGCAUCAAUUUUUUUUGCUCAUAUUGUAAUCCAUAAAGAAAUUGGCUAAUGAAUGUAGCAUCAUCUUACUUGAUAUUAAUCACAAGUUGUCUAAAUUGUAAAGCAUAUAAUGUUAUAGAUUGAUCUUUUUAUUGUAAAAUAUGAAAUUUGUUCAUUGCAGCACAAAUUGUAUCAUAUUUUUCAUACAUUGAUUGAAGCUCUGCCAAGAAAGCUUUCAAAAUAUUCAAUAUUGGAUCACAUUGUUCAAAAAAAGAUGAAAACUAUGACAAUGUUGAAUUAG